rnacentral:rRNA from 1 species
GACGAACGCUGGCGGCGUGCUUAACACAUGCAAGUCGAACGGAAAGGCCUGUCCUUCCUUGUGUUGGACGGGUACUCGAGUGGCGAACGGGUGAGUAACACGUGAGUGAUCUGCCCCCAACUUGGGUAUAAGCCUGGGAAACUGGGUCUAAUUCCCGAUAGGACUGCAGGGUGGUGCCUGUGGUGGAAAACGAUUUUCUAGUGGUUGGGGAUGAGCUCGCGGCCUAUCAGCUUGUUGGUGGGGUAAUGGCCUACCAAGGCGGCGACGGGUAGCCGGCCUGAGAUGGUGGACGGCCACAUUGGGACUGAGAUACGGCCCAGACUCCUACGGGAGGCAGCAGUGGGGAAUAUUGCACAAUGGGCGGAAGCCUGAUGCAGCGACGCCGCGUGGGGGAUGACGGCCUUCGGGUUGUAAACUCCUUUCGACCGCGAGGAAGCCGCCUGGUUGGAAGGGUGGUGACGGUAGUGGUAGAAGAAGCACCGGCUAACUACGUG